rnacentral:lncRNA from 1 species
GUGUUGCCUUUUUUGAUAUUCUGGUCGUUUUUCACGCAAAGCUUGAUUCAAGUCGAUCAUUUGUUGUCGGUAGCGUUCAGUAUUAACGGUUGCACCAGGUUUUAACACCUCAUAAUAGAUCACACCCUUCUGAUCCCACCAAACACAGAACAUUGUCUU